rnacentral:pre_miRNA from 1 species
AAGGGGAGUGCAGGAUCCUGGGCUGUGUCCCCCGGCACUCUGGGCUCCAGGGCCUGUGCCACUGGAAUCAUGAUCCCGGAGCUGCACAGCCCCCU